AUUGAACGCUGGCGGCAGGCCUAACACAUGCAAGUCGAACGAGUGGCGGACGGGUGAGUAAUGUCUGGGAAACUGCCUGAUGGAGGGGGAUAACUCCUGGAAACGGUAGCUAAUACCGCAUACCAUCGGAUGUGCCCAGAUGGGAUUAGCUAGUAGGUGGGAUAACGGCUCACCUAGGCGACGAUCCCUCGCUGGUCUGAGAGGAUGACCAGCAAAACUGGAACUGAGACACGGUCCAUAAUCCUACGGGAGGCAGCAGUGGGGAAUAUUGCACAAUGGGCGCAAGCCUGAUGCAGCCAUGCCGAGUGUAUGAAGAAGGCCUUAGGGUUGUAAAGUACUUUCAGCGGGGAGGCGUUACCCGCAGAAGAAGCACCGGCUAACUCCGUGCCAGCAGCCGAGGUAAUAC
rnacentral:rRNA from 1 species